rnacentral:rRNA from 1 species
UACAGAGGUCUCAAGCGUUGUUCGGAUUCAUUGGGCGUAAAGAGCGUGUAGGCGGCUCGGUAAGUCCGCUGUGAAAGUCCAGGGCUCAACCCUGGAAUGCCGGUGGAAACUGUCGAGCUAGAGUCCGGAAGAGGCGAGUGGAAUUCCUGGUGUAGCGGUGAAAUGCGCAGAUAUCAGGAGGAACACCAAUGGCGAAGGCAGCUCGCUGGGACGGUACUGACGCUGAGACGCGAAAGCGUGGGGAGCAAACAGG